GGGACCCAGGCGAAAAACAAAAUUAGGCCUCGUGGACAGAGAGACUCAAGCUCUUACUGGGAAACAGAAGCCAGUGAAGUGAUGCUGUCCACUCGGACUGGGUCAGGCUCUUUUGAAACUGUUUAUAAGGGCACAUGCACGGAGACGUUGCAGUAAAGAUCCUAAAGGUUGUCAACCCAACCCCAGAGCAAUUCCAGGCCUUCAGGAAUGAGGUGGCUGUUCUGCGCAAAACACGGCGUGUGAACAUUCUGCUUUUCAUGGGGUACGUGACAAAGGACAACCUGGCAAUUGUGACCCAGUGGUGCGAGGGCAGCAGCCUCUACAAACACCUGCGUGUCCAGAAGACCAAGUUUCAGAUGUUCCAGCUAAUGGACACUGCCCGGCAGACGGCUCAGGGAAUGGACUAUUUGCAUGCAAAGAACAUUAUCCACAGAGACAUGAAAUCCAACAAUACAUUUCCCCAUGAAGGCCUAACAGUGAAAACUGGAGAUUUUGGUUUGGCAACAGUAAAGUCACGCUGGAGUGGUUCUCAGCAGGUUGAACAACCUGCUGGCUCUGUCCUGUGGAUGGUCCCAGGGGUGAUCUGAAUGCAGGAUAACAACCCAUUCAGUUUCCAGUCGGAUGUCCACUCCUAUGGCAUCGUGUCGUAUGAGCUGAUGACGGGGGAGCUUCCUUACUCUCACACCAACAACCGAGAUCAGAUCAUCUUCGUGGUGGGCCGAGGGAUGCCUCCCCAGAUCUUAGUAAGCUAUGUAAGAACUGCCCCAAAGCGAUGAAGAGGCUGGUCGCUGACUGUGUGAAGAAAGUAAAGGGAGAGAGGCCUCUUUUCCCCAGAUCCUGUCUUCCAUUGAGCUGCUCCAACACUCUCUACCGAAGAUCAGCCGGAGCGCUUCCGAGCCGCCCUUGCAUCAGGCAGCCCACACCGAGAAUGUCGAUGCCUGCACGCUGACCACGUCCCCGAGGCUGCCUGUCUUCUGGUUGACUUUGCACCUGCCCUCAGGCUGCCAGGGGAGGAAGAGAAGCCAGCAGGCACCACUUUUCUGCUCCCUUUCUCCGGAGGCAGAACACAUGUUUUCAGAGAAGCUGCUGCUAAGGACCUUCUAGACUGCUCACAGGGCCUCAACUUCAUGGUGCCUUCUUUUCUGUUCCUUUGGGCCCUGGGAGAAGGAAGCCAUUUGCAGUGCUGGUGCGUCCCCGUGCUCAAGGCCCAGCCUUCUCUAGAUGCGCAAGUGGAUGUUGAUGGUGGUACAAAACGCAGGGACCCAGCCCAGCCGUUGGCUCCAUGAGUAUUUCGAGGAAAUAAGUUAGCGGGCAACCCAGCCCUGAUGUGGAGACACAUGGGAUUUUGGAAAUCAGCUUCUGGAGGAAUGCAUGUCACAGGCGAGACUUUCUUCAGAGAGUCAUGCAGCGCCAGACGUUUUGCACAUAAGGCACCAAACAGCCCAGGACUGCCGAGGCUCUGGCCGCCCGAAGGAGCCUGCUUUGGUACUAUGGGACUUUUCUUAGGGGACGCGUCCUCCUUUCACAGCUUCUGAGGUGUCCAGUGCAUUGGGAUGGUUUUCCAGG